UGUGUGAAUGCACAAUGGGGCUUGGUCUGACUUUUGUGAUCGAGUCUCAGCCUUAUCUGAAUGCUGUUUUGAUGCCACUUGGGCCUAAAGUGAUGUGCUUCAAGGCCUGCACACACUACCCAACUCUCUUUGAUCAUUUCCAGAGGGAGCUUCGGGAGGUUCUCCAGGACCUUCAGAAUAAGUCCUUGCUCCAAGACUGGUGCCAACCGCAGUCUUGGAAGCAACUUAAAACUCUCGCCAAUUCAGUAUUGCAACAGAAAUGCAGAGUGAGUCUAAAUGGAAGCAGAUGGGAGAAUUAGCUAUGUCUAAUGGAAGGUUAGAUAUGGCUGAGGAUUGUUUGAAUCAUGUGAUGAAUUUGAGCGAAUUAUUACCGUUGUAUGCUUCUUUAGGAGAAGCUGAAGAAGCUGAAGGAAUAUCAAAGUUUGUUUUUUUGGCUAGUUGUAAAAAAAUUAGGUAGCUUUGUGGAGAAAUUAUUUUUUUACUAUAACAGUGAAGAUUGUGGGGGUUAUAAACAUCUGCUGUUUUUUUAAAAAAAAUGCAUGCUGAAUUGCGGCGGUUCCUGACCGCCACAACUUUUUUUAAAUCCUGUUCUUCAAAUAGCGGCGGUUUAAAACCGCCGCAAAUAACUCAUUCCAUUUAGCGGCGGUUAUACCAGCGGUUGUUGAAAACCGCCGCUAAAACAAUUGCCCGCGCCACUAUCCAAGACAGUUUACUUAACCGCCGGUCUUUGAUUUUGUGGCGGUUUAAAACCGCCGCUAAUAAUAAAAAAACCGCCGCAAUGUCUGUACUCUCUUGUAGUGUGAGUGGCUCCCAUUAUAAUAUAUAGAUUAUGGGGGCAUCUAGUGUACAGAUGCAAAUUUAAAGAUUUUUGUCUUUUAUGGCUUUGAAAGCGUGUCACUAAAAGUGUUACUUAAAUGGAAAG